rnacentral:rRNA from 1 species
AUUGCACGCUGGCGGCAGGCCUCACACAUGCAAUUCUACCGAGUGGCGUACGGGUGAGUAAUGUCUGGGAAACUGCCUGAUGGAGGGGGAUAACUACUGGAAACGGUAGCUAAUACCGCAUACCAUCGGAUGUGCCCAGAUGGGAUUAGCUAGUAGGUGGGGUAAAGGCUCACCUAGGCGACGAUCCCUAGCUGGUCUGAGAGGAUGACAAGCCAAAAGGGAAAGGAGACACGGUCCAGACUCCUACGGGAGGCAGCAGGGGGGAAUAUUGGACAAUGGGCGCAAGCCUGAGGCAGCCAUGCCGCGUGUAUGAAGAAGGCCUUCGGGUUGUAAAGUACUGUCAGCGGGGAGGCGUUACCCGCAGAAGAAGCACCGGCUAACUCCGUGCCAGCAGCCGCGGUAAUUC